AGUUUAAGGACUUCCACUGUACUUCAGAACUGUCUUUUAACAUGGUCAAUGUCUCCUUUAAUUUCUUCCGUGAAAGUGAUGAACCGAAGAAGAUGAACUAUCCUUGGAAAUAUAUUUACAUUCCAAUUCGUAACUUUGUCUAAGAAAUUGAGCUCAAAUUUACGGUAAAAUUUUGAAUAUUUAGUUAUUGGUGAAAUAACUUCAUGAUACAAAAAUUUUUAUGCCUUCUUCUUCUGUCGAGGACACUUGGAUUCCCAGCAACUUUGUUGAUGUCGUAUAUAAGAAAUUUGGAUACGCUUGCUGCAAAUAAUCUUGAGCAGUUGCAAUUAUAUUGGAUUUUUCGACACUAAUCGAUAGGCCAGAGUCUUUUUUGAAGUCAUCCAGUGUCUCAAGGAUUUCAACAGCGUUAGGGUCACCUGAUAAAAAUACUGUAAAGUCAUCAGCGUAAAGCAUACAUUUUAAGUUUAAGUCUUUGUGGUCAUUUAUCAACUUGUUGGAUCUAAUUUGUUCAUAUAAGCUAUUUACAGAGAUUAUAAAAAAGUUUCAUCCAGGUACAUUUAAGCGGGGAGUUGCCUUUCCCAUCGUACAAGAUAUCAUGUCAAUAAAUUUUCGAGGGAUUAUAUACUUCACCAACUGUUCUAAUAAAUAUAUACUCCUGCAAGAUGCUAUCAUAUACCUUUUCAAAGUCUAUUAGAAGUGUUGUAUAGUUUAAUUCUCUUUUAUUUGAUUCAACAAUCGCAUCAUAAAUGCUUCUUGGGAUAUCCUCGGUAAGUCUGUUUUUUACAAAUCCUUUCUGGUUUUGAGUGAUGAAUCAUGGUAGAACAUUAAGCAGUCUUUGAUUUAGAAUGCCAUAACAAGAUACCCUACAGAUGAACAAAGGGGAUGCAGCCUUUUUGAAAGAUUUCUUCGAAGCAUAAUUCCAAUACCGGACUAAGCAGCAAAACAAACUUUUGAUAAAAUUCAAUGGGGAGACCCUGAAGGUCCAGGUGAUUUUAACUUUUUAUCAUAUCUAUUAAUAUAGUUUUUUAUUCUUUGUAUAUUACUAUGGACUUCAUCAUCGGUUAUGUAUAUCACAUUACUCUUCUCUUUUACAACCC
rnacentral:lncRNA from 1 species